ensembl:lncRNA
GAAGCCUUGAAUCCUGAUCAAGCUCUGCUACAAGCUCUUCACAACUCUACAAUUUGUUGCAGGGAUUCUGGAGACGAUCCCAGUGUUUCGGGCCAUAAGCAAGCAAAGACCCUGGACACAGAGCCAGUCCAUCACAGGAUACAUUACAUUACAGAGAGGAAGCCGGCUUUCUUUCUCUUCAUGUCCUGCUUUGCUUUAGCUAAUUUUCUUCCAUGCAGGCCAAAAAUGUUUUCAGAGUAAUUUAAGUAAUGUUUGGAACAACAAUAAUAGUUGAUCAUUACAACAGUUGACAAAAUUACUUUUUGAAAGGUUCUGUGUAUUACUCGUAAUUGUCUCUAUCCUCUUUCUUCUCACCUCAGUGUCUAUCAAAUCAUUCCACAAGAUCCUCCUUAUUCUUUUCUUCCUUCUUCAGAAGUCCACUGGAGGAACGUGGCAGUUUCAGCAGCUGUUACUUCCAUCAGGACCAACACAAACUACUGAAAACAAAUUGAAAACAACACAAACUAUUUUUGUUGUUUUUAGGGGUCAAGAAUAUACAUACACACCUUAAAAUAAAUAUAUAUAAAAACUGUUUAUUCAUUUAUUUUAUGAUGAGAGAAAAAUAAAAAAUAUGUGCAGCAGUCAAAUGGCAUUAAUGAUUAAAAAUCACUAUAUAAAUAUUGCCAUAUAAAUAUAAAUCAAUAUCAAUCUUGCUAAACUUCUUUUCAGCCUCUCCAUGUUUAUUGUUUAAAAAUU